rnacentral:ncRNA from 1 species
GGACUAUCGAUUUCAAGUCGAUGGAAGUUUGAGGCAAUAACAGGUCUGUGAUGCCCUUAGACGUUCUGGGCCGCACGCGCGCUACACUGACGGAGCCAGCGAGCUUUUCCUUAGCCGAGAGGUUUGGGUAAUCUUGUGAAACUCCGUCGUGCUGGGGAUAGAGCAUUGUAAUUAUUGCUCUUCAACGAGGAAUUCCUAGUAAGCGCAAGUCAUCAGCUUGCGUUGAUUACGUCCCUGCCCUUUGUACACACCGCCCGUCGCUAGUACCGAUUGAAUGGCUUAGUGAGGCUUCAGGAUUUGCUUAGAUCGAGGGGCAACUCUCUUUCAGAGCGGAGAAUCUAGUCAAACUUGGUCAUUUAGAGGAACUAAAAGUCGUAACAAGGUUUCCGUAGGUGAACCUGCGGAAGGAUCAUUA